CUGUAGGUGACCCUGUUCACUGCAGGGGAGUAGGACCAGAUGGCCUUUGAAAAUCUCUUUCAACUCAAGCCAUUCUGUGAUUCUGUAAUAUGGGAAAAACACAGUUGUGUUAUGGCAAUGUUCUGAUCCUCUUCCUUUAGCCUCCACGUUUAGGACCUGUUUUGAAUACGAAACUGAGCAAAAGGUCAGAACACUGCUGGUUGAACACGGUGCCAAUAAAGCACCAGAAAAUCUCUUUAGUCCAUUUAGAAUUCACUGAUAGGUUUUGUCUCGUUUAAUUCCCCUUAGCGCUAAAGCAAAAUUUAUCCCUUUUCUUUCAGUGUUCUAUAGCUGUGUGUUGUUAUUUUUUUUCCCCUUGAUUCCCCAUCUUAUGCUGUUUGGUGAUCUUUUGUUUUAGUAUUUCUUCACUUUACAUUCACCUUCUUUACCUUGUUUUGGCUGGUAAGAUUUCUCAAGUAGGAAUGAUCAUAUAAAAAGCGUAGUGUGAACACUUAUCUUUUAUUUUCAGACAAAUGGCUCACCACAAGGUAGAGUGUACUACCGAAUUACUAUACAUAAAACAGUGGCACUUUUGUGUUGUGAUAAGAAUAGUUAACCUUGCACGUGACCUCAGGAAAACAGACUUUUACAUGCAUGCAAUUUUAGCUCACUGAGAUUUCAAAGAUCCCUUUCAAACAUAUAUCACAAGGCUUCCUUUAGCACAUUGACUCUUUGUUUUUCUCUUCCAUCAUUGAGUUUAACAUGCUGAUGAGGGCUUGCAAACAAGGUGUCAAUGCCAAUAUAUUGGACCUGGGGGGAUGAAGACUUUGAAGGAAUGUAAAAUGAGUAAAGAAAUACUUGGCUGCAAUUCAGUAAUACUCAGAGGAAGCAGGAAACGACUAAAAUUUUCAGAUACCAACAGCAAGACCACAAUUAAAUUUCAGCCUUCAAAAACAAACAAAAAGUUCAAAGGCAGACUGCAGAAUCUAUAUUUCUGUUGGUGAGCUCGUGUUGAUCAUAGGGUAAGCGCCACUGACCUCUGUGACGCUGCUCAAACACAGACAGAAAUCUGUGCUCUCUUCCUGGUUCUCCAGUAGGUUCGUAUACUCCAGGGUCCGGCACUGGGGUGCCAGCAACAUAAACAGAUGCUUACUCUUGCAUAGUUUGCAAAGGUAAGUAUUAAACAACGUGAAUAAGAAUGGCAGCUUCAGAAGGAAAGUUCCCCCAGAGUCCUCAGGAUUGGAAACAAAAUACGUUUAAAGCAAAGAAUAUAUUUUUUAAUGAUAUUGUGAUGCUACAUGUCCCAUUAAGCAAUGCUUAUUAGUUCAUCUAAACAAUGUUCUGUGACUCAUUUCUUAUAGCUAUACCUUUGGCCUGUAUUUCUUCUACUUUGUUUUAAAAAUACAACCUCCAGGGAACUGCAGCAUUUCCUGUUUAAGGUAUUCACCCACUGCUUGAUUACUUGUCUUUGAUUCUGCUUUUUCUCUGUCUGAGGGAGAGGGAAGAUGGACUCGAGCUCAGAAUGCUGAACUAACGCAUAUCAAACUUUCCUUCACAUAAACUCAUUGAAAUGGUAUUCAUGCUUGAAGAGACUGAGUAUGCAAAUAUCAUUGGAAAAAGAGAGAGAGAGAAGAAACACUGAAGACAACUGUGAGAUACUAAGAGCAAGUUAAAGAAACAAAAGAGUGCAAAUGACAAGCAGAAUUUGAAAUAUUAAAGGUGGAGGCAGUAAUCAGGAGUCAGAACGCUGCAUCUGCAGAAGUGCCCUCCAUGCUGGCCAAGGAAAGCUCUUGCAUCUCUUGAGGGAGCAACACCAGCUCCCAUCCAUGUCCUCACUGAAUUUGUCUUUGCAGA